GAGGGGGGACAAAAAUGGGAGGAAAAACCCGAAGCCGGAGAGAACCCUCCUAGACCGGGUGGAAAGAAGUAAACAACACAGACAAUUGAGGAAACUGAUCCUCUUGAUUUUAUCCAAAUAUUCUCUCUGUCUUCUCCACAUACUCUCUUCCCCGCUCUCUCCACAUAUUUGCCCCCUCUGACUUAAGCAUCGGAGGGCCGGCGCCGGGGAGCCCGGCCACCGGUCUUCCUGCAGGACUCGCACCCCACAGUGGAGGACGCGACCAGCCGGCGCACAGUCGGCCACCCUCCCAGCGGCGGAGCUCUGCCCCUCCAGGAGGACGCCACCAGCCGGCGCACCGUCGACCACCCU
rnacentral:lncRNA from 1 species